rnacentral:rRNA from 1 species
AUGGUAACUUGUGGUUUCAGGUCUUUGUCAUCAGAUUAUUUUGCUUAUUUUAGCAUUGGGUGCUCCAUGGUUUCUGAACAUCGUGGUUUAAGGUCUUUGUCAUCACUCAUCAGACAUUGUGCUUAUUUUAGCAUCGGAUGCUCCAGGUUUCUGAACUUUGUUGACCUAUGUUAUGAUCACUUAAUUCUUGUGGUACAUGAUUUCAUCCAUGAGUAUUUUCAGGUAUCUGUGCCAAUUGAGCCUGAAAUGGGCAUGUUGAUGUUAGUUUUCUUGUUAUAUUAUUUCCCAUUCCCAUGCAUUUAG